UGGGGAAUAUUGGACAAUGGGCGAAAGCCUGAUCCAGCCAUGCCGCGUGUGUGAAGAAGGUCUUCGGAUUGUAAAGCACUUUAAGUUGGGAGGAAGGGCAUUAACCUAAUACGUUAGUGUUUUGACGUUACCGACAGAAUAAGCACCGGCUAACUCUGGUCCAGCAGCCGCGGUAAUACAGAGGGUGCAAGCGUUAAUCGGAAUUACUGGGCGUAAAGCGCGCGUAGGUGGUUUGUUAAGUUGGAUGUGAAAUCCCCGGGCUCAACCUGGGAACUGCAUUCAAAACUGACUGACUAGAGUAUGGUAGAGGGUGGUGGAAUUUCCUGUGUAGCGGUGAAAUGCGUAGAUAUAGGAAGGAACACCAGUGGCGAAGGCGACCACCUGGACUAAUACUGACACUGAGGUGCGAAAGCGUGGGGAGCAAACA
rnacentral:rRNA from 1 species